CCGGCGUGGUAGGGACGGAAGGACUUUCUUGAGUUGUAAACCUCCUUUCAGCAGGGACGAUUGUGACGGUACCUGCAGAAGAAGCCCCGGCCAACUACGUGC
rnacentral:rRNA from 1 species